AACGAACGCUGGCGGCAGGCCUAAAACAUGCAAGUCGAACGCCCCGCAAGGGGAGUGGCGCACGGGUGAGUAACGCGUGGGAACGUGCCCUUCAGUACGGAACAACGUCGGGAAACUGACGCUAAUACCGUAUAAUAUCUCCGGAUCAAAGAUUUAUCGCUGAAGGAGCGGCCCACGGCUGAUUAGCUAGUUGGUGAGGUAAAGGCUUACCAAGGCUACGAUCAGUAGCAGGUCUGAGAGGUUGAUCUGCCACACUGGGACUGAGACACGGCCCAGACUCCUACGGGAGGCAGCAGUUAGGAAUAUUGGACAAUGGGCGAAAGCCUGAUCCAGCCAUGCCGCGUGUGUGAUGAAGGCCUUAGGGUUGUAAAGCACUUUCGUUGGGGAUGAUAAUGACCGUACCCAAAGAAGAAGCCACGGCUAAAUUCGUGCCAGCCGCCGCAGUAA
rnacentral:rRNA from 1 species